CCUACGGGAGGCAGCAGUGGGGAAUCUUGCGCAAUGGGCGAAAGCCUGACGCAGCCAUGCCGCGUGAAUGAUGAAGGUCUUAGGAUUGUAAAAUUCUUUCACCGGGGACGAUAAUGACGGUACCCGGAGAAGAAGCCCCGGCUAACUUCGUGCCAGCAGCCGCGGUAAUACGAAGGGGGCUAGCGUUGCUCGGAAUUACUGGGCGUAAAGGGAGCGUAGGCGGAUAGUUUAGUCAGAGGUGAAAGCCCAGGGCUCAACCUUGGAAUUGCCUUUGAUACUGGCUAUCUUGAGUAUGGGAGAGGUUAGCGGAACUCCGAGUGUAGAGGUGAAAUUCGUAGAUAUUCGGAAGAACACCAGUGGCGAAGGCGGCUAACUGGCCCAUUACUGACGCUGAGGCUCGAAAGCGUGGGGAGCAAACAGGAUUAGAUACCCUGGUAGUCCACGCCGUAAACGAUGAGUGCUAGUUGUCGGACAUGCAUGCAUGUCGGUGACGCGACGACGUACGACUAUUAAGUACACCGUCCGUCCGUCGGGGACGGUACGGUACGACGAAGAAGUUAAACGUAACGAAAGAAGUAGACGGACGUAGAGACGUCGACCGAACGGACCGACCGACGGAAGGGGAGGUUAGG
rnacentral:rRNA from 1 species